rnacentral:misc_RNA from 1 species
GAAAAUUCAAGUAAUAGAUCUGAAGAGGAUAACCUUGGUGGAGGUGGAAAUGAUUUUCUUGGAAAAUCAGUUCUGGAAAUGGAUGGUGGUUCAAGAAUAACUCCUCCUAGCUGCCACCAAGAGUUGACUCUUAGUUACCUUUGUGAAAACUCGAAACAACUUGGGUUUGUGAGCUAUAAAGGGAAAGAAGUAAUGGAGGAAAGUAACAAGAGAUGGGUUG